CUCAUAAAACUUGUACCUCUGUACAAUAUGAUGAGAAGCACCAACCGCAUUUUCUGUUGAAGGCCGUAAUUAUUCUCCCUUCAAUAGAGAAUCCAAAUCCAGUAUGCUGAAAGGGGUUUCUUUGAAAGUAUCAGCAAAACAAACAAGUUUCUAUAAAUGUUCCAGCUUUAUCCCAUUUUAUGAAGCAUAUGCAACCAAUUAAAACUGAUCUAUGUGUUGUAAGGCUCGGUGUUCAAGUUCAGUGGCAGAAUAUUUUGUUGAUUUUGGAUUGAGGCUAUUAACAUAGCAAAUGUUUGCUCUGAAUCAUCUUAAUCAUCAUGCAUUUUUUUGAUGAUUUUCUUUAUGCAUCAAAAAGAACUCCAUUGAUUGAGAACUCCUAAAAUCCACAAUGUAAUUGAUGAAUGGAUUGUUGGAUUUGACAAUUCAAGUACAGAUUUUGCACAUCAGCUAGCAUAAUCUGAGACCUGUAUGGUUCACUGAAAAUAGGAAUGCAAGGGAGACCACCUUUUGAAUCGAAAGGCUAAUAAAGACUUCUGCAUCCUUCUGUCCAUCUUCGGCCAGGUCUGCUAACUGAAGCUCUGCAAGGGUGAAUACAUAGUCACAGCUCCAUUUACUGUUCCAUCCUGAACUAGAUGUUGAAAUGGUGAUCAGACGGCGAGGUGCUCUUGAAACCUUGCAUGAUUUCUUUUUCGAAUUCUGGGAAAGAAUAGAAGCAAAAAACAUUCUGUUACAUUUGCUUUGGCAAUUAAUUGCAUGUUGAAUUACUUUGUUGUGAAUUCAUACAUCCUUAAAUCUGUUUGCAGUAAAAUGAUGUUCUUAUCAGGGAGCACAAUUUCACCUGUGGGAUUUCAUCUUUACUCGAAGAAACAGCUGCAACUCUGGCCUCAAAAUGUGUGCAGGUCGGCAGUUUGAGGCCUUGGCUUAGUCUUCUGGUAUUGCCAAGUUGAUUGUCAAUAGGAGUGAAGAGCCUUGAGAUGGAGUGAUAUGAUUUCGCCAUCUCCAAUUGCGUGGAGAUUUCAAUCUUUCCUGCUCUUCUUUUUCUACCAUGCAAUGGAUUUUGUAGACCUUAUCUCUUUGGCGGAAAUGGUUCAUGUGGUCCAUAUUUUUAGUAGUUAAGCUACUAUCUUUGUGCUUCCUUAUCUACAAAUGCUGGUCCACCAUGCGCCACACGUCAGUAUUUGCUGUAGGCCAAUCUGACUAUAUAAAUAUGUUGGUCCUCU
rnacentral:lncRNA from 1 species